UACGGGGGGGGCAAGCGUUGUUCGGAAUUACUGGGCGUAAAGGGCUCGUAGGUUGCCAACUAAGUCAGACGUGAAAUCCCUCGGCUUAACCGGGGAACUGCGUCUGAUACUGGUUGGCUUGAAUCCGGGAGAGGGAUGUGGAAUUCCAGGUGUAGCGGUGAAAUGCGUAGAUAUCUGGAGGAACACCGGUGGCGAAGGCGGCAUCCUGGACCAACACUGACGCUGAGGAGCGAAAGCCAGGGGAGCAAACGGG
rnacentral:rRNA from 1 species